CCAAUUCAAAUCUUGAAGAAGUUGUGAUGAGGUGAACUUGAUGUAAAAAACAGGUGGAUCUGAACAGUGUGCGGGGUGAUAUGCAGCAGGUGCUGUGAGUGCUCAGACCCAGAUUCCCUUAAUCUCCUCCUCUGGCUUCGUGCACUUUUCUUUCUAAAGACCCAUGCCAGCUGCUCUCUGGAGGAUGGCCCCCUGUGCUGGUGACACUCUGCACAGGCCAGAAGCACCAAGGGGCAGCCUGCUGAUCCACGACUAAGAAAGCCAGGUUCUCUCCCCUCCAGUCACGACAGACUCUGAGUGGUCACGGCCAUUCUGGAGCACCACACCAGGAUCAGUGGGCAGCUCACACUCUUCUCCAUGGAACUCUGCCUGAAAGCACAACUUCCCUUUCUUACUUUCCUCUCAAACGGGUGGGAGAGUGCUGGGACCACUCCUGAAUAAAGCCCUUCACAGGAUCCUUGACUCAGGGUCUGCAUCUGAGGAACCCUAUCUGAGGCAGGGGAAAUGAUGUCUUGACUCGCCCAGUUAUAAUCUGGCACCUCUAUGUCCUAGGUGUUUCACGUCAGAGUGCUCUAAAGACAUGGGCCACUUUUUGGGGUUCUUGUUAUUCUCAGAUGAGAGACACCUCCUCUGGCCAGAUACCUGAAACCCCUCCUCUCUUAAUCUCUGACUUUCUGUGGGGUACUCCCCCAACAAGGCACACCUAUUGAGAUCACACUGGCCCCUCAGAUGGUCCUCUUGGUCAGCAACUAUUUCAAGACAAUUUUUUUUGCAAAAUCUACAGCUGGCCCCUACAAACCACACAUUUUUGUCCCUCAGAACUCAGGAAGUAUGAGCCUUCCCAAGACAGGUGUUUCUCAGCCUCUGGCCAAUGUACUUACUUUUCCGCACAUGAAUGAGGCACCAGUGCCCAUGUCUUACAACUUCAGGGAACACAUAUCGGUGUACUUGCACAGAACUGGGAAGGAAAAACUCUCUAAAUCCUCUUACACCUCUACCAAUCAGUCUUCAUGGCUCUCCUGUACACCCUCAAAGUCGGGGAUGGGCUUACUAGUGGGCAGAACUGUUCUUUCUUCCCCUGCACUAUGAGGUUUGUGAGAGUGUAGUUCUCCAACCAGGGAAUGAAUCUGGGCCCUCAGCAGUGAAAGCACAGAGUCCUAACCAUUGGACAACCAGGGCAUUUCCUAGGAUUUUCUUUUUUUUUUUUUUUGCAAUAGUCUCUUCACAGGUCUUCCAAACUUCAUGUAAGACUCUGUAUUAAAUGACACCUAUUGUUUUCAGCUUUGAGGCCACAACUGAAAUUCUGGACUGAAAGAGUUUUAUUUUAACAUCCUGUUACAUUGAUAAUGGUCCUCGUGUAGACACUUCACUCCAAGUUUGGUAAUUCUGAGCCCCAACUGGUUACAAAGUUCCUCUAGCAAACAGAAAAAAAGGCAAAAGGCAGACACACAACACUUCCAUUUAGGUGGGAGGGACAGAAUAAGGCCAGGAACGGAUCAAACUUGAAUACACAAGCACAACUCAUUGGGAUUCAUGCCUGAAACCUCAGUCACAUAAAUUCUGUUCUUCCAGCUAGAAUUUAGUUAAUCAGGAAAUCCCUACAUAACUUCAUCCCUCUGUAUCUAUAUCUAUUCUCUAUAUCUUAUCUAUAUCUAUCUUCAGAAUUUAGGAUAUUCCUUAGGAUAAAUUUCUUAAUACCUGGAACCCUCGAAGCUGUUCAGAGCCUCCAGAAAGGCCUGGGAUACGCUUUGGUUAAAAAAAAGACUCUUACCAAACUUGCUGAAUUUUGCUCUUGUCUGUUUUCAUUUCUCAUCUCAUUUGUUAGUACCCACCUCAUCCUCCCUAGCAUGGAAGAAAUGCCAGAGAGAGUGAUCCGAGCAAGUAUGGAGCUGUGAGGGAAAUGUGAAGAGCCAGAACACAGGUCGGGAAAGUAGAGAGAAAUGAUUUUGAAAAGGGUUAGACUCUUAACAGCCUUCAGUGGUAGGGUAGGUUGCCUGCAUGCAGCUACUCAUGAGUCAGAAGUGGGACAAAAGGGUUGACUAUCUGAUGGUUAUUUCAACAGGUAUGUCUUUGGUUAUUAAAUUUUUUUAACAUUUAUUUUUAUUUAUUAGGCUGCACGUGGUCUUAGUUGUGGGAUCUUUAGUUGCUUGCAGCAUGGGAGAUCUAGUUCUCUGACAGGGACUGAACCCCAGCAUUGGGAGCAAGGAGUCUUAGUCACUGGACCACCAGGGGAGUCCCCCAUUACUAUGGAGGAGGUAUAUUAUCCAAAUCCAAUUCUUUCACAUUUAGGUCAAGGAUUUCUUGGAAGAUGUCUAGUCUUGUUCAAGAUUGAAGGCUUCAGAUUCUGGCACUCACAGUAGCAAGACCCAUUCUUCAGUCACCACAGUGAUAUACAGUAGUAAUCUUUAACCCUUUUUGCUUACAUCACCACUCCCUUCAAAUCUUCAA
rnacentral:lncRNA from 1 species